UCCCGGUUAACCCGGGCAGUCUCACUAGAGUUCCCACCAUUACGUGUUGGCAACUAAUGAUAAGGGUUGCGCUCGUUGCGGGACUUAACCCAACACCUCACGGCACGAGCUGACGACAGCCAUGCAGCACCUGUGCAGCGGCCCCGAAGGGAAGCGACAUCUCUGUCGCGGUCCACUGCAUGUCAAGUCUGGGUAAGGUUCUUCGCGUUGCAUCGAAUUAAACCACAUGCUCCACUGCUUGUGCGGGUCCCCGUCAAUUCUUUUGAGUUUCACCCUUGCGAGUGUACUCCCCAGGCGGUAUACUUAUCGCGUUGGCUACGGCACAGUCAGGGUUGAGUCCGACUACACCUAGUAUACAUCGUUUAGGGCAAGGACUAC
rnacentral:misc_RNA from 1 species